rnacentral:rRNA from 1 species
GACGAACGCUGUCGGCGUGCUUAACACAUGCAAGUCGAACGGAAAGGCCCUGCUUUUGUGGGGUGCUCGAGUGGCGAACGGGUGAGUAACACGUGAGUAACCUGCCCUUGACUUUGGGAUAACUUCAGGAAACUGGGGCUAAUACCGGAUAGGAGCUCCUGCUGCAUGGUGGGGGUUGGAAAGUUUCGGCGGUUGGGGAUGGACUCGCGGCUUAUCAGCUUGUUGGUGGGGUAGUGGCUUACCAAGGCUUUGACGGGUAGCCGGCCUGAGAGGGUGACCGGCCACAUUGGGACUGAGAUACGGCCCAGACUCCUACGGGAGGCAGCAGUGGGGAAUAUUGCACAAUGGGCGGAAGCCUGAUGCAGCAACGCCGCGUGCGGGAUGACGGCCUUCGGGUUGUAACCCGCUUUCGCCUGUGACGAAGCGUGAGUGACGGUAAUGGGUAAAGAAGCACCGGCUAACUACGUGCCAGCAGCCGCGGUGAUACGUAGGGUGCGAGCGUUGUCCGGAUUUAUUGGGCGUAAAGGGCUCGUAGGUGGUUGAUCGCGUCGGAAGUGUAAUCUUGGGGCUUAACCCUGAGCGUGCUUUCGAUACGGGUUGACUUGAGGAAGGUAGGGGAGAAUGGAAUUCCUGGUGGAGCGGUGGAAUGCGCAGAUAUCAGGAGGAACACCAGUGGCGAAGGCGGUUCUCUGGGCCUUUCCUGACGCUGAGGAGCGAAAGCGUGGGGAGCGAACAGGCUUAGAUACCCUGGUAGUCCACGCUGUAAACGGUGGGUACUAGGUGUGGGGUCCAUUCCACGGGUUCCGUGCCGUAGCUAACGCUUUAAGUACCCCGCCUGGGGAGUACGGCCGCAAGGCUAAAACUCAAAGGAAUUGACGGGGCCCCGCACAAGCGGCGGAGCAUGCGGAUUAAUUCGAUGCAACGCGUAGAACCUUACCUGGGUUUGACAUGGAUCGGGAGUGCUCAGAGAUGGGUGUGCCUCUUUUGGGGUCGGUUCACAGGUGGUGCAUGGCUGUCGUCAGCUCGUGUCGUGAGAUGUUGGGUUAAGUCCCGCAACGAGCGCAACCCUUGUUCACUGUUGCCAGCACGUUAUGGUGGGGACUCAGUGGAGACCGCCGGGGUCAACUCGGAGGAAGGUGGGGAUGACGUCAAGUCAUCAUGCCCCUUAUGUCCAGGGCUUCACGCAUGCUACAAUGGCUGGUACAGAGAGUGGCGAGCCUGUGAGGGUGAGCGAAUCUCGGAAAGCCGGUCUCAGUUCGGAUUGGGGUCUGCAACUCGACCUCAUGAAGUCGGAGUCGCUAGUAAUCGCAGAUCAGCAACGCUGCGGUGAAUACGUUCCCGGGGCU